rfam:Brachypodium distachyon strain Bd21 chromosome 4, whole genome shotgun sequence.
UAUAUACUCUCUCCGAUCCAUAUUAAUUGUCUCAAAUUUGCCCAAGUAUGGAUGUAUCUAUGCUUAAAAAACGUUUAGAUACAUGUAAUAUUUCGACAAUUAAUAUGGAUCGGAGGGAGUGUAUU